ensembl:lncRNA
CAUUUACUUUAAGUCAGUGAUUUAAGUUGAGCAGAAAUAAAUCUGCUGCUGCUUCACAAGAACUUUGUGAAAUCAACAUAAAGAAGACAGUGAAACAAAUCCUAUUUCUACUGGUGCUGCCUCACUUUACAAUUCUCAGAAGGGAGUGAAUAUUGCAGGUUUCGAGAUAUAACAGAAGGCAGAAAUAUCUGCAGUGUGGAGUAUAGCUAGAAAUGUUUUCUACACAAGCCUCUGAGGAGACCAACUGUGAUGCAGAAUGGGAGGCUGCAGGUCAAGUGAUGGGAGAGGAGUCCUGCUGUGUGGGUAGGUGAGAGUGGUGAGCCAAAGGACGUCAUCUGGAUGUGGGACUGUCCCUCUUCAAGGCCUUUCUCCUUGUUUAGAGGCCCCUUUUUACCAGGUCAGUGUCUCUAAUCAUGGCUGUUUGUUGUGUGAGGGUGUGGGCAAUUCCCUAUUGCACAUGGGUGGGUGUGGAUAGCUUUGGCUUGUUGAACCUCUGCUUUCCUUCAGCCUUCCAAGUGCUUUUAAAGCCUAAGUUCAUCCCUAGAUGCUUCUUGCUUGCCUUGACUAGCAGGCAAAUACCUUAGCUAAACAUUUCCAAGCAUCUUUCUAUUCCAGGGGCUCUUGGAAAAAGGUUCCAUGGCCUCAUGCCUUUUCCAUGCUUUCCACCAGCCCAGUUAGCUGACUGCGGUGGCUGCACUUGCCCCUUUCUGCCUGUGAGCUCAGCCAUCCCUCCUCUCUUUUGUCAAUUUUUUUUUUCUUCUACUGCAGCCUUCAAACAAGCAAACAAACAAUUCCCCAAAGCUCCAAAAGAUGCUUUUGACACAAGAUGCACUAUAAUGAUGAGAGCUCUCUGCAGUAUCACGAGUCACACACUGUGACAGCCACAGAACUGUUCAGAGAACGGCUUCUUGCCAGAUUUCAUUCACAGCAUUGCAGAGUUUGCUGUUUGAGAAAUGCUGCUUCUCUGCUUUUUGUUUAGAAAUCCAGGCCUGAAUUUCCAGGAGGCAGCAGUAAUUUGAG